UGGGUCCUACGGGGCGCAGCAGUGAGGAAUAUUGGUCAAUGGGAGAGAUCCUGAACCAGCCAAGCCGCGUGAGGGAAGACGGCCCUAUGGGUUGUAAACCUCUUUUGUCGGGGAGCAAGGCCCGCCACGUGUGGCGGGAAGGAGAGUACCCGAAGAAAAAGCAUCGGCUAACUCCGUGCCAGCAGCCGCGGUAAUACGGAGGAUGCGAGCGUUAUCCGGAUUUAUUGGGUUUAAAGGGUGCGUAGGCGGGAGGUUAAGUCAGCGGUCAAAUGUCGGUGCUCAACACCGGCCUGCCGUUGAAACUG
rnacentral:rRNA from 1 species